rnacentral:rRNA from 1 species
AGUGCUUGCACUCUAUAGCCGAGUGGCGAACGGGUGAGUAACACGUGACCAACCUGUCUUUAGGUGAGGGGCAACCUGGGGAAACCCGGACUAAUACCGCAUAAUAUCUUUCUUUCGCAUGGAAGAAAGAUCAAAGAGGGCCUCUGCUUGCAAGCUCUCGCCUAUUGAGGGGGUCGCGGCGUAUCAGCUUGUUGGUGGGGUAACGGCCUACCAAGGCUAUGACGCGUAGCGGGUCUGAGAGGACGAUCCGUCACAUUGGGACUGAGAUACGGCCCAGACUCCUACGGGAGGCAGCAGUGGGGAAUAUUGCGCAAUGGACGAAAGUCUGACGCAGCGACGCCGCGUGUGGGAUGAAGCCUUUCGGGGUGUAAACCACUGUCAGGGGGGAAGAACCACGAGCACUCGAAUAGGGUGCGCGUCUGACGGUACCUCCAAAGGAAACGCCGGCUAACUCCGUGCCAGCAGCCGCGGUAAGACGGAGGGCGCAAGCGUUGUUCGGAAUUACUGGGCGUAAAGCGCACGCAGGCGGUUUCUUAAGUCUUUUGUGAAAG